rnacentral:rRNA from 1 species
AACGCGAAGAACCUUACCCAGAUUUGACAUGUAGUGGAAUUAGGUAGAAAUAUCUAAGCCCUUCGGGGCCGCUACACAGGUGCUGCAUGGCUGUCGUCAGCUCGUGCCGUGAGGUGUUGGGUUAAGUCCCGCAACGAGCGCAACCCUUAUCGUUAGUUGCCAACAGGUAAUGCUGGGAACUCUAGCGAGACUGCCUGGGUUAACCAGGAGGAAGGUGAGGAUGACGUCAAGUCCGCAUGGCCCUUAUAUCUGGGGCUACACACGUGCUACAAUGGUCGGUACAGAAGGCAGCGAAACCGCGAGGUGAAGCAAAUCCAAAAAGCCGGCCUCAGUUCAGAUUGUAGUCUGCAACUCGACUACAUGAAGACGGAAUUGCUAGUAAUGGCGAGUCAGCAACAUCGCCGUGAAUACGUUCCCGGGCCUUGUACACACCGACGCGUA